UUCUAAAAAAGAACUAUAAAUACAAAACAAACUAAUAGAAAAUUGUUCGACAACUAUCCGAUCUUCGUCGUCUUUUUCAAGAUCCUCACGAGUAGACAAAGAUUCUACAUUUGCGUUCUAAAUUUGAGGAAGAUUUUUGCACACUAAUGAGUCUUGUAAAUGUUCUUACCCUCUUUCUUCCCUCAUUUUAGCAGCGGAUCAUACAUUAUACACUAUUUGUUAAGUAAUAAAUAAAUUAAAGGAUGAAAAAUCACCAGAAAUUGGUUGAUUAAGAUGAAUACCUCUAGUAAGCCUCUUG